rnacentral:rRNA from 1 species
GCCUUGCUGAGAAACACGGUGCAAGCUGUGGCUUUGGGAUGGGCCUGCGGCGCAUUAGCUAGUUGGUGGGGUAACGGCUCACCAAGGCGACGAUGCGUAGCCGACCUGAGAGGGUGAACGGCCACACUGGGACUGAGACACGGCCCAGACUCCUACGGGAGGCAGCAGUAGGGAAUCUUCCACAAUGGGCGCAAGCCUGAUGGAGCAACGCCGCGUGAGUGAGGAAGGCUUUCGGGUCGUAAAGCUCUGUUGCCAGGGAAGAAUAAGGGCCAGUUAACUGCUCGUUCGAUGACGGUACCUGAGAAGAAAGCCCCGGCUAACUACGUGCCAGCAGCCGCGGUAAUACGUAGGGGGCAAGCGUUGUCCGGAAUUAUUGGGCGUAAAGCGCGCGCAGGCGGUCUUUUAAGUCUGGUGUCUAAGUGCGGGGCUCAACCCCGUGAUGCACUGGAAACUGGGAGACUUGAGUGCAGAAGAGGAGAGCGGAAUUCCACGUGUAGCGGUGAAAUGCGUAGAGAUGUGGAGGAACACCAGUGGCGAAGGCGGCUCUCUGGACUGUAACUGACGCUGAGGCGCGAAAGCGUGGGGAGCAAACAGGAUUAGAUACCCUGGUAGUCCACGCCGUAAACGAUGAGUGCUAGGUGUUGGGGGGGUCCACCCCUCGGUGCCGAAGUUAACACAUUAAGCACUCCGCCUGGGGAGUACGGUCGCAAGACUGAAACUCAAAGGAAUUGACGGGGACCCGCACAAGCAGUGGAGUAUGUGGUUUAAUUCGAAGCAACGCGAAGAACCUUACCAGGUCUUGACAUCCCUCUGACCGGUCUAGAGAUAGGCCUUUCCUUCGGGACAGAGGAGACAGGUGGUGCAUGGUUGUCGUCAGCUCGUGUCGUGAGAUGUUGGGUUAAGUCCCGCAACGAGCGCAACCCUUGGAUUUAGUUGCCAGCACUUCGGGUGGGCACUCUAGAUCGACUGCCGGUGACAAACCGGAGGAAGGCGGGGAUGACGUCAAAUCAUCAUGCCCCUUAUGACCUGGGCUACACACGUACUACAAUGGCCGGUACAACGGGCAGCGAAGUCGCGAGACGGAGCCAAUCCUACCAAAGCCGGUCUCAGUUCGGAUUGCAGGCUGCAACUCGCCUGCAUGAAGUCGGAAUUGCUAGUAAUCGCGGAUCACAUCGCGGGGG